UCAAAUGUGAAUCAAUUUUUAUUUGUUUAACAUUAAAAACAAUUGUGAUGCAUUUAAUUGCGAAGUGAAGUGAUCGUGAGUUGCUAAAUAGUCUUGAAAUAACUUUAUAGCCAUCAUAUAUUAGCUUAUCAUGCUGUGAAACGAAUUGUUAGCAUAUUCGUUUAACAAAACUGUAGCACGACUAGCAAGCUUGUGUUGACUUAGUGACUAUGGUAUGAUUAAUAAUCCUAGCCAGUACAAUAAACUGUAGCACUUUAUGCAUUGUUUUUCCACUUUAAGUAAGUUAAAAUAAUCUUAAUGUUUUAAAUGUCACGUGCGUGCUCACUGUCAGCCUGCCCAGGUCAAAAAAUACUAUAUUUCUAUAGUUAUGUUACCACAGCAACUAUAGAAUUACCACAAUAAAUUAAUUCAAGUACUUUACUAUAGUAUGGUUAAAAAAAAACUAUAGUAUUUACUAUAAAUUACUAUAGUAUUUUUUCACCUGGGCAUGUUUACCCCACUAUACAUGUUAUGAGCAUGUCUCUUCAUUUUGACAUUGUUUUUAUAAUGUUGAUUGAAGCAUUUGACAUUUUUAAUAGACAUAACAGAGAGGCCAUCAUAAUAAUUGACUGUUAAAAUACCACAUGUUAGAUUGUGUCACGUACUGUGUUCUCUAUAAGUGAUUUCAGUGCAGGCAAUAUAUGACAAAAGAAUAAUAAAUAAAUUGGUCAAGUACUAGGCUUAGGCCUAAUUUAUGUCUAUUUAUUUAUAUGAAAUGAACUUAAAAUGUUUUAUUUGACCAAUUGGACUCUCUCUUUUUCAAGAAACACAUAACAAUCCAAGAAGGAAGAUCCUUUCCUGGACUAAAGAGAUGCACUACAUGCUGCAAGGAGUUCCUCUGCCCGUUCUGCAGUUCUGCUUUGUUUCACCCAACAAAGUUGAGCAAAGUGAAAUCCCGUUUGGAGAGCCAUUUCAAACACACAGUUCUCUAUGAAAACCAUCAUAUAUGGCCUGUCUGUGCUGCAGAAUUUCUCUGUGGGAUGUUGAGAAGGCCUUCUUCUCUGGUCCGGAUUAUCAUCACAGUGAAGUGUAAGAAUUUAAUAGAGUGAGAGAGAAACAAUUGAGAAAAGAGGGGAGAACAUCCAAUUGGAGUCAGUGAAGACGUCACUUAAGUUCUUUCUGUGUGGUUCACGUCAUGAACAAAUUUGUUGUUGUGUGUUCAACUGUUGUAAUAUAUUAUUUUAUAAAAUAUACACAAUCUUAAAUAUACCCCCAGAGUCAUCCUUGUGUCUUCCCUCUGUACUUGAAAAUGUGGUUUAUCUGAAUGAAAAGGCUAUACCUUGAUUCCUUGUUUAUUUUACUUGAUGACUUUACUAGAUUAUGCUAGUUAGUCACAAUAAUUAAUCAACAUUCAGCUCUUGGCAACCAGGUUUAUUUGCAAGAAUGAAAGUAGUAUUUGGGUAUUAUAAACCUUUUAAAAACUCUAAUUAGUUAGAAUUGGGUGGAAAUACUGCCUUGGUGGCACUUUUUUCGGUUAUCCAAUACUAGGGUCCUGGAAAUGCGGUCCUGGCACUGUGGUCCUGAAAGUGCAGCUUCCGGUAUUGCAGACGGAUAAUAUUGGUAAAAUUGGCAAUUUUAACAUGUGGGUCAGUGAGAUUCUGCUCUCUUUUGGAGCCUGUCCCUAGCUGCCAGUCAAUGAAUUGCAGUUUAAGUCACUUCCGUAUUGGCUUCAAGAGAAACUGGGGGAGGUUGCUGCUUGUUACACCCUGAACCAGUGGCUCAACACAAACCAGCUAUAGGUGGAGAGGAGAGAGAGUAUUCAUAGUCCUGAAAAGAAUGUUCUUAAAAAUAAUCAUCAAUAACUUCUUAAAGUUAGGAUAACCUCCAACCUGUCUUAAAUCCACAAAGGAACAUUCUUACGAACUUCUUGGAAAUAUUUCUUAAGACGAUUUUUGUGAAUCCAGCCCCAGCAGUGAAAAAGAAUGUCAUGAUUAUAAAUACAGCUUUUUGCAAAUGCAAAAUGCAAAUGUCUUCAGAAAUAGCGUAGUGCAUGGCCAAAAUUUGUUAUGAAGAAUAUAGAAAAAUAAAGCAUCUUUUGACAUUUACUUUGUCUUGAAUAUUAAUAACACCACCUACAGACACCACCUGAACUACAACAACAAUUUUCAACACUUUGGUAUCUGAUACUGUGUGUCUCUUUGACUGCUGGUGUAGAUGAAGGUGGUGUGAAAACCUGGUUUGACCUCAGAGCUUCUAACCUAAAGGAUGUGGGUUUGAAUCCCACAUAGGGUGAUCUUUGCACCUU